CUACCUGGAAAAUUAAUAAAGUGGCUGUUUAACUUUUUGUUUGGUUGUAAAAUGUACAUUAUAUGUUAAGUAUAAUAAUAUUUUACAUGGCCCAAAAAAUGCAUACAAAGGUCUAAUGCAAUGUGCCUCCUUGUCACCAAUAUUAUACAAUUUAUAUACAUACUUCACAAAUUCUCCAUCAUCAUUUACGUGAAGAUUUUAAAAUAUUACAGUUUGCUGAUGAUGUUUAAUAUAUUGUGUGAAUAGUAAUGUAAAGAUUGCUCAUGCAUUAAUUUAGCUUUAGAUAAGCUUAAUUCUAAUACAAAAAAACAAAAGAUUAAAUAAUUGCAUGUCAGCGGGGUAUAGAAUGUAGUAUGCUAAAUAUUAGAAAGAUACAAAAAAUAAGGCACACCAAAGUUAGAAAUAUAACCAAGGCAAGAGAUGGAUUAGAACACGCUCAGUCACUUAAAUGGAGGUGGGCUGGACAUGUGGCUACGUGACAAGAGAUGGACAAAAACGGUAACCACUUGGGCGGGUCCACAGGGAAAGAGGGGUAGACCUGUGGCUAGCUGGGAAGACGAAAGAGAGGUAGACCUGUGGUUAGCUGGGAAGACGAAAGAGAGGUAGACCUGUGGCUAGCUGGGAAGACGAAAGAGAGGUAGACCUGUGGCUAGCUGGGAAGACGAAAGAAAGCAGCUGGUCUCAACUGGAUCCAAGUGGCCCAGUCGAGAGAGGACUGGCUGUCCUUGGAGAAGGCCUUCCCCAUAGAGGAGUUCUUACAGAAAAAUAAAAGUUUAGAAGUAGGAAAAACUAACACUAAAUUUAGGAUACAAAUUUAAUUACUAACAAAACUAACACUAGUAUGUAAGUAAACUUAAUCAAUGUAACUUGUUCUGCUGUAAGAAUUAAAAGGCUUUUUUUAUA